GCCUCUAUAGCUCAGCGGCAGAGCGUUCCCCUCGUAAGGGAAAGGUCAGUGGUUCAAUCCCGCUUGGAGGCA